GACGAACGCUGGCGGCGUGCUUAACACAUGCAAGUCGAACGGAAAGGCCCUGCUUUUGUGGGGUGCUCGAGUGGCGAACGGGUGCGUAACACGUGAGUAACCUGCUCUUGUCUUGGGAUAACUUCAGGAAACUGGGGCUAAUACCGGUUCGGAGCUCCUGCUGCAUGGUGGGGGUUGGAAAGUUUCGGCGGUUGGGGAUGGACUCGCGGCUUAUCAGCUUGUUGGUGGGGUAGUGGCUUACCAAGGCUGUGACGGGUAGCCGGCCUGAGAGGGUGACCGGCCACAAUGGGACUGAGAUACGGCCCAGACGCCUACGGGAGGCAGCAGGGGGGAAUAUUGCACAAUGGUCGGAAGCCUGAUGCAGCAACGCCGCGGGCGGGAUGACGGCCUUCGGGUUGUAAACCGCUUUCGCCUGUGACGAAGCGUGAGUGACGGUAAUGGGUAAAGAAGCACCGGCUAACUACGUG
rnacentral:rRNA from 1 species